UGCGUAGGCGGGCUAAUAAGUCAGUGGUGAAAUCUCUCGGCUCAACCGGGAAACUGCCAUUGAUACUGUUAGUCUUGAGUUCGGUUGAGGUAGGCGGAAUGUGUAAUGUAGCGGUGAAAUGCUUAGAUAUUACACAGAACACCAAUUGCGUUGGCAGCUUACUAGACCGACACUGACGCUGAGGCACGAAAGCGUGGGGAGCGAACAGGAUUAGAUACCCUGGUAGUCC
rnacentral:rRNA from 1 species